rnacentral:pre_miRNA from 1 species
GAGGUACUCCCUCCAUCCCAAAAUUCUUAUCUUACAUUUGUCUAGAUACGGAUGUAUCUAAUAAUAAAACAUGAUUUGAUACAUCCGUAUUUAGACAAAUCUAAGACAAGAAUUUUGAGACCGAGGGAGUACGUA